CCGAGUCUUAACCGGGCGUUAAGUUGCAGGGUAUAGACCCGAAACCCGGUGAUCUAGCCAUGGGCAGGUUGAAGGUUGGGUAACACUAACUGGAGGACCGAACCGACUAAUGUUGAAAAAUUAGCGGAUGACCUGUGGCUGGGGGUGAAAGGCCAAUCAAACCGGGAGAUAGCUGGUUCUCCCCGAAAGCUAUUUAGGUAGCGCCUCGUGAAUUCAUCUCCGGGGGUAGAGCACUGUUUCGGCUAGGGGGCCAUCCCGGCUUACCAACCCGAUGCAAACUGCGAAUACCGGAGAAUGUUAUCACGGGAGACACACGGCGGGUGCUAACGUCCGUCGUGAAGAGGGAAACAACCCAGACCGCCAGCUAAGGUCCCAAAGUCAUGGUUAAGUGGGAAACGAUGUGGGAAGGCCCAGACAGCCAGGAUGUUGGCUUAGAAGCAGCCAUCAUUUAAAGAAAGCGUAAUAGCUCACUGGUCGAGUCGGCCUGCGCGGAAGAUGUAACGGGGCUAAACCAUGCACCGAAGCUGCGGCAGCGACGCUGAUGCGUUGUUGGGUAGGGGAGCGUUCUGUAAGCCUGCGAAGGUGUGUCGUGAGGCAUGCUGGAGGUAUCAGAAGUGCGAAUGCUGACAUAAGUAACGAUAAAGCGGGUGAAAAGCCCGCUCGCCGGAAGACCAAGGGUUCCUGUCCAACGUUAAUCGGGGCAGGGUGAGUCGACCCCUAAGGCGAGGCCGAAAGGCGUAGUCGAUGGGAAACGGGUUAAUAUUCCCGUACUUGGUGUUACUGCGAAGGGGGGACGGAGAAGGCUAUGUUGGCCGGGCGACGGUUGUCCCGGUUUAAGCGUGUAGGUGUGUGUUCCAGGUAAAUCCGGUUCACUUUAACACUGAGGCGUGAUGACGAGGCACUACGGUGCUGAAGCAACAAAUGCCCUGCUUCCAGGAAAAGCCUCUAAGCAUCAGGUAACAUCAAAUCGUACCCCAAACCGACACAGGUGGUCAGGUAGAGAAUACCAAGGCGCUUGAGAGAACUCGGGUGAAGGAACUAGGCAAAAUGGUGCCGUAACUUCGGGAGAAGGCACGCUGACACGUAGGUGAAGUGAUUUACUCAUGGAGCUGAAGUCAGUCGAAGAUACCAGCUGGCUGCAACUGUUUAUUAAAAACACAGCACUGUGCAAACACGAAAGUGGACGUAUACGGUGUGACGCCUGCCCGGUGCCGGAAGGUUAAUUGAUGGGGUCAGCGCAAGCGAAGCUCCUGAUCGAAGCCCCGGUAAACGGCGGCCGUAACUAUAACGGUCCUAAGGUAGCGAAAUUCCUUGUCGGGUAAGUUCCGACCUGCACGAAUGGCGUAAUGAUGGCCAGGCUGUCUCCACCCGAGACUCAGUGAAAUUGAACUCGCUGUGAAGAUGCAGUGUACCCGCGGCAAGACGGAAAGACCCCGUGAACCUUUACUAUAGCUUGACACUGAACAUUGAGCCUUGAUGUGUAGGAUAGGUGGGAGGCUUUGAAGUGUGGACGCCAGUCUGCAUGGAGCCGGCCUUGAAAUACCACCCUUUAAUGUUUGAUGUUCUAACGUGGACCCGUGAUCCGGGUUGCGGACAGUGUCUGGUGGGUAGUUUGACUGGGGCGGUCUCCUCCUAAAGAGUAACGGAGGAGCACGAAGGUUGGCUAAUCCUGGUCGGACAUCAGGAGGUUAGUGCAAUGGCAUAAGCCAGCUUGACUGCGAGCGUGACGGCGCGAGCAGGUGCGAAAGCAGGUCAUAGUGAUCCGGUGGUUCUGAAUGGAAGGGCCAUCGCUCAACGGAUAAAAGGUACUCCGGGGAUAACAGGCUGAUACCGCCCAAGAGUUCAUAUCGACGGCGGUGUUUGGCACCUCGAUGUCGGCUCAUCACAUCCUGGGGCUGAAGUAGGUCCCAAGGGUAUGGCUGUUCGCCAUUUAAAGUGGUACGCGAGCUGGGUUUAGAACGUCGUGAGACAGUUCGGUCCCUAUCUGCCGUGGGCGCUGGAGAACUGAGGGGGGCUGCUCCUAGUACGAGAGGACCGGAGUGGACGCAUCACUGGUGUUCGGGUUGUCAUGCCAAUGGCACUGCCCGGUAGCUAAAUGCGGAAGAGAUAAGUGCUGAAAGCAUCUAAGCACGAAACUUGCCCCGAGAUGAGUUCUCCCUGAGACUUAGAGUCUCCUGAAGGAACGUUGAAGACGACGACGUUGAUAGGCCGGGUGUGUAAGCGCAGCGAUGCGUUGAGCUAACCGGUACUAAUGAACCGUGAGGCUUAACCUUACAACGCCGAA
rnacentral:rRNA from 1 species